ACCGUGGCUUUAGAUUGUUACU
rnacentral:ncRNA from 22 species